UGCCAGCCGCCGCGGUAAGACGAACCGGACGAACGUUAUUCGGAAUCACUGGGCUUAAAGAGUACGUAGGCGGCUUGGUAGGUUGGGUGUGAAAUCCCACAGCUCAACUUGGGAACUGCCUUUGAUACUGUUUAUCUAGAGUCCGAGAGAGGUUAGUGGAAUUCCCAGUGUAGAGGUGAAAUUCGUAGAUAUUGGGAAGAACACCAGUGGCGAAGGCGGCUAACUGGCUCGGUACUGACGCUGAGAUGCGAAAGCGUGGGGAGCAAACAGGAUUAGAUA
rnacentral:rRNA from 1 species